AACUCGUCAUCUGCAUCAACGGCUAACAACGAGCUCUAUCCCGCAGCAGCUAGCAAUGCCCGCCACCAUGCCGCUAACCUUGUCCCCGCCCCGCCUCCUCCUCCACCACCACCGCCACGGCCAAGCCAAGCUCCAGCAGCAGCGCUCCACCGCCGGCUUCGCGGUCCUCCCGCGCCGCGCCGCUCGGCUCCGCUGCGCCCCCGACGAGGUCGCGGCCACAGCCGCCGAGCCCGAGCAGCAGGGGGAGGAGGAGGAGUUCGUGCUCCUCGCCUCCAACCGCAGCGACUUCAACGAGGUCAUCAUGGUCAUCGACUCGCCCUCCAACCGCUACCUCGUCCUCGACCCCAGCCGGAAUGUCCACAGCAUUCUCCCCAAGAAGAGCGCCUGGACCAAUUCCUACUGGGAUGAGUUCGUCAGCCUACCUCCCGUUGUUCCACGUGGUCCUGUUGCACUUCUAGGUUUGGGUGCUGGGACAGCAGCACAUAUGAUGCUAGAAGUUUGGCCCUGGAUACAACUUAUUGGAUGGGAGAUUGAUCCGACGAUAAUUGAAUUGUCGAGGGAUUAUUUUGGUAUGUCCAAUUUAGAGAAGACCACGGAAUUAGGUGGUUCACUUUCGGUGCGUAUAGGCGAUGCACUUUCCCCAUCAGCUACAGUUGAAGGAGGAUUUGCUGGCGUUGUUGUUGAUUUAUUUGCUGAUGGAAAAGUCUUACCUCAGCUACAAGAAGCUGAAACUUGGCUAGAGAUUGCAAAAAAGCUCAUGCCAGAUGGUCGAAUCAUGGUCAACUGCGGCGGAGCAGAUACCCCCGUAUCUCUUGCUGCUGACACGGGUGUUUCGUCUUGGGUCCAGAAUCCUACAAUCAAGGCUCUGUGCUCCGCGUUCCCUGGGCAGCUAAACUGGAAGAGACUUUCGGAGAAGGAGAGUGUAAACUACGUCGCGUUGACGGGUCCCCUUCCAGACCUGGAGGAGUGGUCAACCUCGGUUCCUAGCGAGCUAAGCCCAAGAGUGAAACAAUGGGUGCCUUGCGAGCUCGCGUGAGGAUGUGCGUUUUCUUCUGGUUGCACCUUUACUUGCUUCUACAACUUUGUCUGUCUCCUCCCUCCACGGUCCUUUUAAGGUGUACAUAAGGCCAUCUGUCUGCAUCUGAAGAAGUACCAUAUCAUAGCAGCACUCACAUGUCCAAGGAGGGAAUUGCAGUGGGGAAGGUAGUCUAUCUGGCUCCAGAAGCUUGAAGAACAGCACGCUACAAUUUUUGGCAUGUCCUGCUGACCUGCUGUUGAUUGCCGUUCAUCAUUCCAUGUCUUGAUAGUGUUGCAAAGUGUCAAGUUCAGUCGCUGAUUAGUAAGCGCGCGUUACAUCCCUUUGUUUUUUUAGGUAACAACUUGUUUUUCCUGCUGUUUAAACGACCGAUUCGUGCCGCGGCUGAGCUGAAUCAAAGCCAGCCACAGUUUGCAGUCUUUUGCCAGGGUAAUGUUGUUGUUCAACAUCAGGUUCUUACACGGCUACAUAAUUGUUAUACUGGUGGUGGCGCUGCGCAAGUAGGCCGUGAAGCAUUACCUCUCGCUUACGGCAAGUGAGCUGGGGUUAGAGUUAAGUCUCUUAGUAUGUAAUCCUUUCGGUAUGUUC